rnacentral:rRNA from 1 species
UACGGAGGAUCCAAGCGUUAUCCGGAAUCAUUGGGUUUAAAGGGUCCGUAGGCGGGCCUGUAAGUCAGUGGUGAAAUCUUUCGGCUCAACCGGAAAAUUGCCAUUGAUACUGCAGGCCUUGAAUUAUUGGGAAGUAACUAGAAUAUGUAGUGUAGCGGUGAAAUGCUUAGAUAUUACAUGGAAUACCGAUUGCGAAGGCAGGUUACUAUCAAUAUAUUGACGCUGAUGGACGAAAAGCGUGGGGGAGCGAAACAGG